rnacentral:lncRNA from 1 species
GCCAUUGCCCCACACUCAUUGGUCAAAGCCCCACACCUUCCAGGGCACAAGCUGGCCCCUUCUUUCCUAAUGAAUGUUAGCAUGCACCCGAUCCAUCUAUGCCUGUCAAGGACGUCACUCACACUUUGACUACAACUAGCAAAUCAAACAAACACCUGGUGGCCAGAUCUCCCUUGCCAGGGUGUUCUCUCUGUAACACAGAUGGGAGGCAGGCACUAGAUUGUUGCUGGGUGGGUGGUGAAAUCCCGGUACAAAGAGGAAGGCCAAGUCCUCUCUCAGGUCUUAGGAAACCUGCGGCCUCUCUCCCUCUGAUCUCCGACUGCCGGACUCAAUCACUACAGGCAGUGUGGUCUCAUUUAAAGAAAAAUAAGUCCUGCUGGGCAAGAAGUUGGGAGGACUGUAUGUUAUUAGUUCCUUGGCGUUUGGAUAGGAGUGUCAGCCAGAAAAGAGUUUAAAAAGGUAAAGAAGUACAUGGGUGAUUUUGGAUCAAUUUUCCAUUUGAAACAGCUCAGCAAACAGCCGACUACGCCUAAUGGGCCCUUGAAAUGCUCUCUUUUAUGAAAUUCCAGAUGUGAAAAAGGACACACUACAAAUUUCCUCUUCCAUAAAAUGAAGAUAACAGUAGUACCUCUUGGAUGGAUGUGUUAAGAAAAAGAUAAUGCCUGUGAAGUACCUAGCGCAGGACCUAGCACAGUACAUAGCACGGUACCUGGAGAACUCCAGAGGAGGGCACAAGGAGAAGAUGGCCAUCUGCAAACCCAGAAAUGAGGCCUCACCAGACACUGGAUCCAUGAGCACCUUGAUCUUGGACUCUCCAGCCUCCAGAACUGUGAUGAGCUUGUUUCCCACUUCACUGGAAAACAAAAUGGGAAUAUUCAGAAGAUAAGUUCCACAGCUCCCAUAGCAUCUUCCUAUCUACCAGGAUUUGGACCUUCUACACCCUGCUCCCAUUAAGGAAUUAGCCUUGCUCUUGUCCAAAACUAGCCUUUGCGUAUGCCUUAGAUCCUAUCCCCCUUGCUUGCUCACAGGCUUUGCUCCAGCAAUUCUCCCUAUUUUUCCCCUAUACCAUCAGCUUCCUCUCUCUACUAGGUCAUUUCCACCAGCACACAACAAUACUGUCUCUCUCAUCUUAGAAAUGGAAACUAACAAAAUUGAGUUCACUUUUCCUUCUGACACUAUCCCUUUUCUACCUCCCCCACUUUACAGCAAAACUCUUUGAAAGCUGCCUGAAUUUCACUGCUUCCAUUUCCUCUCCUCUUCUCACUUAAACCUACUGCUGCCAGAACCGGGACUCCACCACCUCACCAGACCCCUGCUUGUCAAUAUCAUCAAUGACUUCCAUCUUGCUAAAUCCAUUUCUUGUCCCCAUUGAACUUGACCCUCAGUAACACCUUGUCAAAUUAACCACUCCCUUCUCAUGGAAAUGAUUUCUUGUUUUCUAAGACACUACACAUUUCGUUUUCCUUCAACACCCCUGGAUGCUGCUUCCCAGUCUUGUCCCUUAACCUCCUAGCACUGAAGUGAUGCAGGGCUCAGUCCACAGAUCUCUUCAUCUUUCCUGUUCACUCCAUACUCACCCUCUUGGUAAUUCCCUUCCAGUUUCAUCGUUUAAAUGGCAUCUGUCUGCAAAUGAUUAUCAAAUGUAUGCCUCCAGCCAUGGCCACUGCUCUCAACGUUAGCUUAUCCAUCUAACUGUCAACUCUGUAUCUCUACCUGGACGCCUGAUGGAGGUCUCCAAUGUACCAUGCCCUAAACUGAAAUUUUGAUCUUCUUUAUCCACAGAAUCUGCUCGACCCUAUCUCAGUUAAAGGCAUAUGUUACUAAAGCCAAAGUCAGCAAAGAAGGAGCCUCCAUGCUUGGAAACAACCCAGCUAACUGCCAUCUGUGUGGUAGCUUGAGUGUGGAUUGAAGAACGGAGAGUCAGGAUUCUAGGGGAGAGUGGAACCAAUGGCUGGGCUGGAACCUGCAUGCCAGCACCUCCCCCACAUGCUGUUGGUCAAGCCAGAUUCAAGAGAUGGGGAAACAGACUCCGCCUCUGGAUGCCGCAAAGUCCCACGGCAAAGGGCAGGAAUAUAGAGGGGGGAUGAUCAUUCAUACCAUGACAAAAUGGCAGAAAAUGUGCAACUCCAAGACCAAGAAAACGUGAAGAGGCUGUGACUACCUCCAUGUGAGAAACAUCUGAGUUCCUCCUGAUCCUAAGACCUCCCCACAAUGUAUGUAUGAUAGCAAUUUCCUCUGACAGAGCAGUGAAUUUGAUGAUAGUGCAUCGAUUGCUGUAAAUUGUCUGCUGGGUUACCUGUUCCUACCACCUUAGAGCACUCACAGCUCAGUGACUGUGGAAGUCAGCUUCCAAGAUGUUCCCCUAUGAUCCUCCCCUCCUUGUAUUCACAUCUGUAAAGAUUCCUCCCACAAUGAAUCACAGUUUCGUUUUGUGACCAACAGAAUACAGCAGAAGUAAGGAAAUGUGACUUCCAAGGCUAAUGAAUAAAAGGCUUUGCAGUUUUCUCCUUGGUCAGUUGGAAGCCACCUGCCAUGGACACUCAAGCAGUUCUGUGGAGAGGCUCAUGAGGGAAAGAACUGAGGCCCCUCCACCAACAUCCAGCACCAACUUGUCAGCUGUGUCUGUGAGCCAUCUAGGAAUGAGACCCUCCUGAAGCCCUGGUGAAGCCUUCAGAUGACCGUAGCCCCAGCCAACAUUUGGCUGCAGUCUCAUGGCAGGCUCCAAGCCAAACCCUACCAGUGAAUUUGCUACCAAAUUCCUGACUCAUGGAAACUGUGUGUGUAAUAAAUGUUUAUUGUAUGAUAAAGCCACUAAAUUUAGGAGUAAUUUCUUACACAGCAAUAGAUAACUAGUAGAGUCACUUUGCAUCUCUUAGGGUCUAUGGCAAAUGACACAUAAUGAAUAGAGAAAUUGGAACAGACAACUGGUUGUCUGUUUCAGUACAGAAACUGGUUGGUAUUAAGAGUGACAAUUUUUAUUAUAGUUCAAGCUAUAGUACUGUAUGUUCUUGAAUAAACUAUGCUAAUCUAGGCCAUCCAAAGACUUCCCAAAAUGUAUGGUGAGAAUAACAUUUCCAAGAUACUAAACCAAUGUUUGUAGCUCCUGAUAAUUCCUAAUUCCUGGUUGCCCCAAGCCACCACCUGCCCCAACUAAAACAAAAGAAUUGAUCACAUCAUAAUAAAAUUAGAACCUUCAAAGAACAGGCACUGAUCUCUUGGAAUUUUUAUUUUAAACUUAAGUUUACAUGACAAUCUGCUUCCACUUACAUGAUAAUCUGAAAGCAUAUGUUGAAAUGGCAUGGUUCUUGGUUGCAGAAAACAGAAAUGAAAUCUACCUAAGCAGAAAUUAAAAUUAUAGGAGGGAUAUUGGGAGCUCAUAACAUCCAGAGGCUGACUAAACAAACAGACUUCAACGUCAAAAGCAGCCCCCACCCUGGAGGCUAGGGAUCUAUGAGAGCAAAUUGAACAUCUGAUCUCUCAGCUCUCACCAAACUCACACCAUGGCAGAACCUUCACGAAGGGAGGAAGAGACUCAGAUGCUGAACACAAGGAGAG